rnacentral:tRNA from 1 species
GAGGGUAUAGUUCAAGAGGCAGAGCACAUGUUUAGUGUGCAUGAGGUCUUGGGUUCAACCCCCAGUACCUCCA